GGGGAAUUUUGGACAAUGGGGGCAACCCUGAUCCAGCCAUGCCGCGUGAGUGAAGAAGGCCUUCGGGUUGUAAAGCUCUUUCGGCCGGGAAGAAAUCGUGCAGGCUAAUACCCUGUAUGGAUGACGGUACCGGAAUAAGAAGCACCGGCUAACUACGUGCCAGCAGCCGCGGUAAUACGUAGGGUGCGAGCGUUAAUCGGAAUUACUGGGCGUAAAGCGUGCGCAGGCGGAUCGUUAAGUCAGGGGUGAAAUCCUGGGGCUCAACCUCAGAACUGCCCUUGAUACUGGCGAUCUCGAGUUCGAGAGAGGUUGGGGGAACUCCGAGUGUAGAGGUGAAAUUCGUAGAUAUUCGGAAGAACACCAGUGGCGAAGGCGGCCAACUGGCUCGAUACUGACGCUGAGGUGCGAAAGCGUGGGGAGCAAACA
rnacentral:rRNA from 1 species